rnacentral:rRNA from 1 species
UACCAGACUCCUACGGGAGGCAGCAGUGGGGAAUAUUGCACAAUGGGGGAAGCCCUGAUGCAGCGACGCCGCGUGAGUGAAGAAGUAAUUCGUUAUGUAAAGCUCUAUCAGCAGGGAAGAAAAUGACGGUACCUGAGUAAGAAGCCCCGGCUAACUACGUGCCAGCAGCCGCGGUAAUACGUAGGGGGCAAGCGUUAUCCGGAUUUACUGGGUGUAAAGGGAGCGUAGACGGCUGUGCAAGCCAGAUGUGAAAGCCCGGGGCUCAACCCCGGGACUGCAUUUGGAACUGCGUGGCUUGAGUGUCGGAGAGGCAGGCGGAAUUCCUAGUGUAGCGGUGAAAUGCGUAGAUAUUAGGAGGAACACCAGUGGCGAAGGCGGCCUGCUGGACGAUGACUGACGUUGAGGCUCGAAAGCGUGGGGAGCAAACAGGAUUAGAUACCCUAGUAC